UACGUAGGGUCCAAGCGUUAUCCGGAAUCACUGGGCGUAAAGCGUGCGUAGGCGGAUGUUUAAGUGUGAUGUUAAAUCGUGGGGCUCAACCCUGUCGUUGCAUCGCAUACUGGGCAUCUAGAGGACGGCAGAGGCAAGUGGAACUCGUAGUGUAGCAGUGAGAUGCGUAGAUAUUACGAAGAACACCAAUGGCGAAGGCAGCUUGCUGGGCCGACCCUGACGCUGAGGUACGAAAGCGUGGGGAGCGAACAGG
rnacentral:rRNA from 1 species